rnacentral:rRNA from 1 species
AUCUGCUCAGCCACCCCGAACAAGUCCAAUUCCAACUGAUCUUGGAAGCUAAGCAGGGUGGGCCUGGUUAGUACUUGGAUGGGAGACCAUCUAGGAAGACUAGGUGAUGUAGGCA